CAAUAGCGUAUAUUAAAGUUGUUGCAGUUAAAAGCUCGUAGUUGGAUUUCUGGUGGGGGUGUUUGGCCGGCUCUAAUGAGUUUUGCGCCUAUACGUCUCCGCCAUCCUUGGGGAAAACUUGCUUGGCAUUAAGUUGUCGAGUUUGGGAUCCCCAUCGUUUACUGUGAAAAAUUAGAGUGUUCAAAGCAGGCUUAUGCCGUUGAAUACAUUAGCAUGGAAUAAUAAGAUAGGACCUUGGUACUAUUUUGUUGGUUUGCGUACCUAGGUAAUGAUUAAUAGGGACAGUUGGGGGUAUUCGUAUUCAAUUGUCAGAGGUGAAAUUCUUGGAUUUAUGGAAGACGAACUACUGCGAAAGCAUUUACCAAGGAUGUUUUUGUUGAUCAAGAACGAAAGUUAGGGGAUCGAAGACGAUUAGAUACCAU
rnacentral:rRNA from 1 species